rnacentral:rRNA from 1 species
AGUGAACGCUGGCGGUAGGCCUAACACAUGCAAGUCGAACGGCAGCACAGUAAGAGCUUGCUCUUACGGGUGGCGAGUGGCGGACGGGUGAGGAAUACAUCGGAAUCUACUUUUUCGUGGGGGAUAACGUAGGGAAACUUACGCUAAUACCGCAUACGACCUACGGGUGAAAGCAGGGGAUCUUCGGACCUUGCGCGAUUGAAUGAGCCGAUGUCGGAUUAGCUAGUUGGCGGGGUAAAGGCCCACCAAGGCGACGAUCCGUAGCUGGUCUGAUAGGAUGAUCAGCCACACUGGAAGUGAGACGCGGUCCAGACUCCUACGGGAGGCAGCAGUGGGGAAUAUUGGACAAUGGGCGCAAGCCUGAUCCAGCCAUACCGCGUGGGUGAAGAAGGCCUUCGGGUUGUAAAGCCCUUUUGUUGGGAAAGAAAAGCAUCAGGUUAAUACCCCGCUGUUCUGACGGUACCCAAAGAAUAAGCACCGGCUAACUUCGUG